rnacentral:rRNA from 1 species
AUGAACGCUGGCGGCGUGGCUAAGGCAUGCAAGUCGAACGAAUUAUUUUUUGUAGCAAUACAAAGAAUAGUUAGUGGCAAACGGGUGCGUAUCACAUUGGUAACCUACCUCCCAGUCGGGUACAACCAGCCGAAAGGUUGGCUAAUUCCACGAUGGUCAUCCAAACAUAAAGUUUGUAUGUAAAGCGCAAAACGCGCUGGGAGAGGGGCCUAUGGCCCAUCAGCUAGUUGGUGAGGUAAUGGCUCACCAAGGCUACGACGGGUAGGGGGCGUGAGAGCGCGACCCCCCUCACUGGAACUGAGACACUGUCCAGACACCUACGGGUGGCUGCAGUCACGAAUAUUCCCCAAUGGACGAAAGUCUGAGGGAGCGACGCCGCGUGUAGGAUGAAGGGCUUCGGCUCGUAAACUACUUUUACCGAGGAAGAAUUCUGACGGUACUCGGAGAAUAAGAGGUUGCUAACUCUGU